UUACACUAAUAUUUCCAUUUCCUCAGCACCACUCGUCUCACUCAACAAACCACGUCUCUCCGGGCGCUCCUCCAGUGUGUGUGAUUGAUAGAUAUAGUGCGUGCGUGCCCCAUGCUCGUCCAGCUCCGGCUGCUCGGUUGAUGAGGCCGGCGAUGGCCAGCAACGGCGGCAUGGCGUCCCCCUUCUUCCCCGCCAACUUCCUCCUCCA
rnacentral:lncRNA from 1 species